ncrna:Heliconius melpomene (postman butterfly) microRNA hme-mir-929 precursor
GGAUGUGAAAUUGACUCUAGUAGGGAGUCCGUUUCAACGCGACUCCCUAAUCGAGUCAGGUUGACUUCUUU